UCUCUUUUAUUAGUUUUUUUAUUUUUUCUAAUUUUUAAUCCAUUUUAGUUUAUUUAUCCAGUCUAGCAUCAAAAUAACAACUAACCAUGAGUGGUCUGGUGGAGAAGGGUAGUAUCAUAGUCUUGAGUGGGGUGGGUUCAAUACUCAUGUGUAGCUUUUUUUAGUAUUUUAUUUUUCUUUUAGCAUUUUCAUUUCUUUUUAUGUUUAUGCCUUUACUAUAACAUAGAUUUGUUUUCUUUUAAUUUCAUCAUUCAUUCAAAACCAUUUUUAAACUAUAAAAAUCAUAUUUUUCUCGAUUUAAUAUCGAGCCCAUUUUUCCACACCCUUGUAAGUCGAUUGCUUUUUAAGCGUCGCCAUCAACCUCACAUAGCUUACUCUUGGGCUUU
rnacentral:lncRNA from 1 species